CAACGCAUUAGUCAGGAAAGGCAACUCGGUGAUCCCUUCAGCUCCAAUGAUGAACUUUGUGCGUGCCCAGAUCAAGAAAGCAGCUGACGAGACCGAGACUAUUCUGGAAACAACCCCGGCUGGCAAAAGCGAUGGGGAAGGUGCACUUCGAGAAUUCAUUAAGCGCCAGGGCCAAAAGUUAAGGCGGCUAUCAAACCUUUUCGGUUGUCGUGACCCCGAGUAUGUAUCACCAGAACGGUCUAGGUCGGCGACACCAUCAGAUCCCGCUUCGGGGCAGAGGCAUGGUGAACCUUUCCAGGAUGAG